rnacentral:rRNA from 1 species
UACGUAGGGGGCGAGCGUUGUCCGGAUUCAUUGGGCGUAAAGAGCCCGUAGGCGGCUUGGCAAGUCGGAUGUGAAAACUCCAGGCUCAACCUGGAGCCGCCAUUCGAUACUGCUAUGGCUAGAGUCCGGUAGGGGAGUGUGGAAUUCCCGGUGUAGCGGUGAAAUGCGCAGAUAUCGGGAGGAACACCGAUGGCGAAGGCAGCACUCUGGGCCGGUACUGACGCUGAGGAGCGAAAGCGUGGGGAGCGAACAGG